rnacentral:rRNA from 1 species
UACGUAGGGUGCAAGCGUUAAUCGGAAUUACUGGGCGUAAAGCGUGCGCAGGCGGUUGUGCAAGACAGAUGUGAAAUCCCCGGGCUCAACCUGGGAAUUGCAUUUGUGACUGCACGGCUAGAGUGUGUCAGAGGGGGGGUAGAAUUCCACGUGUAGCAGUGAAAUGCGUAGAUAUGUGGAGGAAUACCGAUGGCGAAGGCAGCCCCCCUGGGAUAACACUGACGCUCAUGCACGAAAGCGUGGGGAGCAAACAGG